CCUACGGGAGGCAGCAGUGAGGAAUAUUGGUCAAUGGACGAGAGUCUGAACCAGCCAAGUAGCGUGAAGGAUGACUGCCCUAUGGGUUGUAAACUUCUUUUAUAAAGGAAUAAAACGAGGCACGUGUGCCUUUUUGCAUGUACUUUAUGAAUAAGGAUCGGCUAACUCCGUGCCAGCAGCCGCGGUAAUACGGAGGAUCCGAGCGUUAUCCGGAUUUAUUGGGUUUAAAGGGAGCGUAGAUGGGUUGUUAAGUUAGUUGUGAAAGUUUGCGGCUCAACCGUAAAAUUGCAAGUGAUACUGGCAGACGUGAGUACAGUUGAGGUAGGCGGAAUUCGUGGUGUAGCGGUGAAAUGCUUAGAUAUCACGAAGAACCCCGAUUGCGAAGGCAGCUUACUAAACUGUGACUGACGUUGAUGCUCGAAAGUGUGGGGAUCAAACAGGAUUAGAUACCCGGGUAGUC
rnacentral:rRNA from 1 species